rfam:Ciona savignyi cont_51394, whole genome shotgun sequence.
GCUUAUCACCAUUCCAGCUUGAAUAUACCCGAUCUCGUCUGAUCUCGGAGGUCAAGCAAUCUCGGGCUUGGUUAGUACUUGGAUGGGUGACCGCUUGGGAAUACCAAGUGUGAUAAGCA